rnacentral:rRNA from 1 species
GGUGGUGUCGUUAAUAGCGGCAUCUAUUUGACGUUAGACAACAGAAGAAGCACCGGCUAACUCCGUGCCAGCAGCCGACGGUAAGUACGGGAGGGUGCGAGUACGUUAAGUACGGUAAUUACGUGGGACGUAAAGCGCAUGCAGGUGGUUUAGUUAAGUCAGAUGUAGAAACGGCCCCGGGGCUACCAACCGUACGGAACUGCUAUUUAGAAACGUGGCAGACUAGAGUACUGUAGGAGGGGGUAGAAUUUCAGGUGUAGCGGUGAAAUGCGUAGAGAUCUGAAGGAAUACCGGUGGCGAAGGCGGCCCCCUGGACAGAUACUGACACUCAGAUGCGAAAGCGUGGGGAGCAAACAGGAUUAGAUACCCUGGUAA